ACCAUUCAUUCCUUUUUUUUUACAUAUGUAUGUUUUUUUUUGCAAAAAUUUUAACGGGAUAUUCUUGAAGAUUUGCUUCUAGAAUUUGACAAUUUUUGUAACCAAGUCAUUAUUGAAGUGAACGUUGAAAAUAAAACAUCAAAUACGGAAAAGGAAAAGGAUAGUGAGACAAUUUAAUAGCCCAGGUGUCCUUGGAGCGAAUUAUUAUUUAAGAAUUUUCUUUAAGGAAACUUAAUAGUACGAGGAAAAAAUUUCAAGUGUGAUUCCUGGGUGUCGGCAGAUAUUGUGAGGACUAUUAACAGUUCCAUUGAAGGACUGCGGAAAGAGUCUCCAGUUUUUGGAUAUAUGAGUGCACACGUGGUCCACUCGUCACGUCUACCCAAAUUUUAAGGAGGUAUUGUUAAACCUCAUGGUUAUUAGCCCACGUGGUCCUCUUGUCACGCCAACCCACAUGGACCUACUGUCACCCAUACCCUGGUGUCAAAGAGGUUGUUGGAAGCCUCAGUCGUUUUAGCCCACGUAGUCCUGUCACGCCAACCCACGUGGACCAACCGCCACCCUUACCCGAGUGCCAAAUAGGUUGUUUGAAACCUCAUUUGUUUUAUCACACGUGGUCCUACUUCCAAAUUUUGCCACGUGCCAAGAAGAUUUGUGAAACCUUGGAUUAUAAACACACGUGGUGAGAACAUAACUAUAACCACGUGUCACCAAUCAUCUAAUCGGAUAAGUAAAACGAAAAUCAAAAUUUUUAAGUGACCAAAAAAAAAAAAAAAGAAAAAAACAAUAAUUCGACGGUUCUAGUAAAUUAAUUUACAUAAGGAAAGAUAUUUUGAUCUAAGUGACUCGAUAUAAUACAAAUUAGAAUACCUAAAAUUAAGUACAUAAUAUUCUCGGAAUUGACGAUUUUUUUUUAAAUCUAUUAAAAUUAGUUAUUCUGAAAUAACAGCAAAAGGAAGAAAAAAUCUAUUGGAAAUUAUGUUUUAAUAUUAAAUUUGCAGAAAUAGAAGAAUCGAAUAUUUUGCUAAUAUCAAUUAUAAUCAAUAGUCUAAUCCAAAAUAAUCGCAAUUUUCAUAAUACUAAAUCCAUAA